GCAAAAGCUCAAAUUUGAAACCCUCGGGAUUGUAAUUUGAAGAUUUGGCAUUGGAGAAAGCUAACCCAAGUUGCUUGGAAUAGUACGUCAUAGAGGGUGACAACCCCGUCUGGCUAACCGUUCUCCAUGUAUUGCCUUAUCAAAGAGUCGAGUUGUUUGGGAAUGCAGCUCAAAGUGGGUGGUAAACUCCAUCUAAAGCUAAAUACUGGUGAGAGACCGAUAGCGAACAAGUACUGUGAAGGAAAGGUGAAAAGAACUUUGAAAAGAGAGUGAAAUAGUAUGUGAAAUUGUUGAUAGGGAAGGAAAUGAGUGGAGAGUGGCCGAGGUUUCAGCCGCCCCUCGUGGGCGGUGUACUGCCGACGCCGAGUCAUCGAUAGCGAGACGAGGGUU
rnacentral:rRNA from 1 species